rnacentral:lncRNA from 1 species
UGGCAACACUGUCAUGUAUGCAGCAAGAAGUGUCAUGUCGAGGACCGCGACGCCCCGAGCGCCAAGUCGAGGCUGGUUGCACUCUCGAGAAGGUGUAAAUCGAGGAAGUUCAUCUGAAGUGAAUUACAGCAUACGAAAAAUGACUCCACACGAAACAGUCCACACAGAGCGAUAUCUGUCUUCAGAGAUAUACCAACUUGGAGAAAUGUACAAUUGCUGUGUGAGGAGAAUGGUGUUUUGCUAGGACAUCGUUAGUGUGUGAGCGCAUUAGGAUAUGUGCAAUGCAAUGCCCAUAUAUCGUUCAACAGGAAGCUUAUAUAACUGGCAAAACCCACGGAACAUAAUCAACAACUGUGGUGACAGGAAAUCGACACCUAUAGAUUUCAGUUUUGAAAUUGACAUCUCUUUCUUCAAAUGAACAAUAAACUAACAGCAAACACUUCGGGACCGUAUACCACAAUUCAAGUAGGGACAUGGCAGCCUUUUAACCAAAGUUUAUUGAGUGAUAUAAACACGACUGCUAAUAUGAGAAUGAUUGGUCAGUAACACCACGUGUGUCAAUACCAGAGAUAAAAGACACAGUUCCUGUACUGCAAUAAACAUAUCCCCCCUCGUCCCGACAGUGACCACCGUAAUCAAAUCGCCCUUAAUCAGCACUGGGAGCGAAUUUGGACACUUUCGCUGUGCCCUGACCCAUAAACUCAGCAGCCGCCUUAAUAACAAUCUUCGCUUCAUGGGGUGCCUAGAUACCCUAAUCGAACACGCCUCGCCGCCUAGCCGUUGUUGUUUGUUUCUAGGUGUCUGCUCGCUUUGUAUGUUUGGCUGUUGGCUAAUACCUCAGUGUAAAGACAACAUAAUGACAAAUGUGUUCAUUUACUCCUGGUCUGGGUGUUUCUGCCCGAUUGCCCCUUUAUAGUCCGUGACUGGCCAGUCCAGUUUUAUUGCCAGUUGUACAGUGAGUGGUCAGACCGACCACUGGGUAAAAGGAAAUAAAUUGGCCUCGUUGACCGCUACCACUGAAUGGUCAGUAGAUGCGGCGCUUAAAGAAUAGUCAUGAAUGAUUCCAUUGAAAAUGUGCGGCUUUGUAAUUAUUUUCUUUUAUGAUUGUAGUAAGCUAUUCCUGACAAUUUGUUAUACCUGACACAAUCUAGAAGACUGGGCUCAAGGGCCGCUUGUUACACACAGAGACCGGCACUGGGACGUCGAAACGUUCAUAUUGAUCCUGGCGUAAUGUGAGGACUAAGAUGGCUGUUACUUGGACACAUGUUUGCAAUGUAGGCAUCACGUCGAGCUGAAGAAAUACUGUAUUAUAUACAGAAUGUAGGGAUUUUGAUAGACUAACUCUUAAGACUUUUGUUAGAAACAAGAAACAAAUAAUUCAAUAUAAGUCGAAAAAGAGAUUCAGAACUUCAUUCAAUAUGGUAAUGUCUGCACAAUAUGACCGUGGGAAUGUUCAUAAUGUGUUCUCAUUUUUACUGUGGAAGUGUUUGUAAUGUGUUCUCAUUUUGACCGUGAAAGUGUUGUAAUGUGUUCACAUUUUGACUGUGAAAAUAUUUGUAAUGUAUUAACAUUUUGACCGUGGAAGUGUAUCUCAUGUAUUCACAUUUUGACCCUGGAAGUGUCUCUAAUGUAUUCACAUUUUGA